AGUGAACGCUGGCGGUAGGCCUAACACAUGCAAGUCGAACGGCAGCACAGUAAGAGCUUGUUCUUACGGGUGGCGAGUGGCGGACGGGUGAGGAAUACAUCGGAAUCUACUUUUUCGUGGGGGAUAACGUAGGGAAACUUACGCUAAUACCGCAUACGACCUACGGGUGAAAGCAGGGGAUCUUCGGACCUUGCGUGAUUGAAUGAGCCGAUGUCGGAUUAGCUAGUUGGCGGGGUAAAGGCCCACCAAGGCGACGAUCCGUAGCUGGUCUGAGAGGAUGAUCAGCCACACUGGAACUGAGACACGGUCCAGACUCCUACGGGAGGCAGCAGUGGGGAAUAUUGGACAAUGGGCGCAAGCCUGAUCCAGCCAUACCGCGUGGGUGAAGAAGGCCUUCGGGUUGUAAAGCCCUUUUGUUGGGAAAGAAAAGCAGCAGGUUAAUACCCCGCUGUUCUGACGGUACCCAAAGAAUAAGCACCGGCUAACUUCGUG
rnacentral:rRNA from 1 species